rnacentral:rRNA from 1 species
CCCUUAGAUGUUCUGGGCCGCACGCGCGCUACACUGAUGAAGGCAACGAGUUUAUCAACCUGCACCGGAAGGUGUGGGUAAUCUUUUGAAACUUCAUCGUGCUGGGGAUAGAUCUUUGCAAUUUUCGAUCUUAAACGAGGAAUUCCUAGUAAGCGCAAGUCAUCAGCUUGCGUUGAUUACGUCCCUGCCCUUUGUACACACCGCCCGUCGCUACUACCGAUUGAAUGGUCCGGUGAAGCCUCCGGAUUGGCGCGCACCUCGGUGCCGCCGAGAAGUUGGCUAAACCUUACCAUUUAGAGGAAGGUGAAGUCGUAACA